rnacentral:rRNA from 1 species
UACGUAGGGGGCAAGCGUUGUCCGGAAUCAUUGGCGUAAAGAGCGCGUAGGCGGCCCGGUAAGUCCGCUGUGAAAGUCAAGGGCUCAACCCUUGAAUGCCGGUGGAUACUGUCGGGCUAGAGUCCGGAAGAGGCGAGUGGAAUUCCUGGUGUAGCGGUGAAAUGCGCAGAUAUCAGGAGGAACACCCAAUGGCGAAGGCAGCCUC